rnacentral:lncRNA from 1 species
UUUGCCUCAUCUGGUCUACCUUCAUCGGCUUCUUCUACCGACUUUGUCCUAUUUUUUGAGUCGGCUUUAACAACCGAUUUUACUACAUUUUCAUUAUCGGCCAUUUCAUCCUUCUCGUUGAACACCACAUCAUCAGCCUGCUGGGCCGAAUUUAUCAUACAGCCGAUCUUGUCGAUCGGCUUCUUUUGCCGAAGCUCUUUUAAAGCUUCGGUUCCUGAUUUUUCACAUUCCAUUUUAACCAGUUU